UUGUCAAAAAUUAUUUUGCAGAAAUGACUGGACUGUUUUAGGAGAUUAACAAAAUAAUUACUUCACACAUGUUGUGAGCAAUUUGUUUCACAAAGAGCAUGAAAUUAAACAAUUCAGAUGUUAAGCUGAACUCGAUAUGAACCCAAAACAAGACGCCCACACGGUGAACAGGGUCCUCUAGUACCACUGUUAGAGAAUCGGAACAGCAGGAAAACUCGGGAAUGUGUUAAAUGGAUUUCCUGAGAAGUUCUCCAGAGCAUUAGCACCAAUUAAACCGCCCCCUAAUGAGGGAUUUAAGCCUGCAUCCCAGCAGGAAAGAGAGCAAGAGAACGGGAGGAACGGGGGCUGGGAGUCAUGACUAACACUAAAGAUUCUUCAGAUACGUGUGGGCUUGUGAUGUCCUAUGGAUCUCUGUAUGUCACUUACAUAUUGGAGCUACAGUAAAUGCAUGGGUGGAGGCAGAUGGCUGAAUUCAAGGAUGAAAGGAGGUUUAAUCAUGCAACUGACUACGAAAGGUGUAAGAGUCAAAUUUAGACGUAUGUUUAUAAGGCAAGAAAAAAACAGUAUCAAGAUCAGAACACUGUCCAAUAAAUCACAGACCUGUGAAACUAGGACAUAUAGUAUGUUUUCUAAACACUGUCUGGAACUGUUGACGUCUCUUAAUAUAACACACACCUCCACAUCAAACACAUAUCUGCUAACAACACACUUGGAAUGCUUUGAAAGCCAAAGUGUUUAUCGUUUCUAUUUAGUGCACAAGA